UUUCCCGUGGUGGAAGGGAGCAGUUUGUUGGAUUUCAGCUGCUGCCUGGCUUCUUUUCCUCAGGCACCUGUCAGGAAUGCCAAGUGCAUGCAGCUUUUGUUUGGAGCAAACAAUGUCCUUUCACCAGUACAUUUAAAAACCCAGAAACCAAGGCACUGCUGCAGCCAAACCCUACCAGAUUUGCUUCACUGGAGGGAAGACAGAAAAACACCCCUGUGCCUUUUCCAGAGUGCCUUGUGUGCAGUGGAGGAGAUGGUGACAUCCUGCCUGGGACCGAGCCGCGUCCGCGGAGCCGCUCCGGCGCUGGAAGGGCCCUGCUGGUGACUCAAGCUCUGCCUUCAAUACCCUGCAGCUCAAGGAAAUUGCAUUUCAGUAUUUCCUUCAGCCCGUUAUCCUCAGACAAAAUCUCUGCUGACUUAACUGAAGCUCUUACUUGCAAAACAAGUACAGGGCAAGGCCCCUUCAGAAGAGGAGAGGUUGGAUUCCCGCUCUACAGGGUGAAACUCUUCCUUGUGAAGAAGCAUAUGGGAAUAUUUUUCAGUAUAACAGGGCAUGGGAUAAACUCUGAUGUCCCCUUUUACUUGGUCAGGGGAAUAAUCUCUGUUCCAAAGCUGGGAGAGGUGUGCUGUCUUUCUGUCUGUCUGCUGAGGCUUUGCUAAGGGUUUGGUUCUGCAGCAGUAAUCUCGUGGUGCAGCCAUCUCCUGUGGUCCCCUCGGGAGGGAGGGGAAACAAGCCAUGAGCAGCUUUUGCAGAAACUGCUUUGCUAUGAUAAUGUGGUGUAAUUAAACAGGACUCAGAAAUCCCAGAGUUAUAAAAACCCAUGGCUUGUACCAACACUUUUACUCUUCUGUGGGUUUUCAGGCUGAAUCAGGGCUGAGCAAAGAGAUCAUGAGAAGAAGAUUUUUGACUCAGUUGAUCCUGCAGUUGAUCCUGUUCACCUUGGCACAUUGUAGCAUCUCAAUAACACAAUUAAGAAGAAAGCAAAAAAGAAAAACCUCUGGAAGAUCUAGAAACCUACUGAUUCUCAAGGAGAACCUCAAAAUGGAGGUCCUAUAUCUUUAAGGAUCCCAAAGCACCUCGGAACCGUCUGCGUUUGUCAGCGCUAAAGGCAAGGACAAGAGCACAGCAAAACGUGCAGAGCAAAGGAGAAAAGCUUCCCAACCUCUGGAGCAAACCACAGGAUGUUUAACCUCACAGUGAGCAGGAGUAUCCAUGGAAGCGGCGCAUGCGGGUGCCGCAGCUCCCGUGCUUGUGUGCAUUCAUCCGAGCUGGAAGACUUGCAAAUAAUUGUGCAAAUGUGUGUUUGUGCAAGUUUUCAAAACCAUCAAUGAUUUACUCGAUCCUUCCUCCCCAUUAUAAAUGUUCCAGGAAGGACACGUGGGCCCACGUGAAUUAAAUAGCCAAUUGCACCACUUGAAAAGUAAAUGGCAAACAGGGAAUACUAAAAGCAGUAGACACAAUGGGUUCAAAGAGAUUCAUGUGCUGAAGUGUUUAAUAAAAUACUCUUUGAAUAAAUUUAAAUUACAAGUACAUUACUUGAUUUCCUAUCUUGAUGUCACAGAGCCUGCAGAGCGCUCUAUUGUGAGCUGUCCUAUUAACUUCAGCACGAUUGUUCACCAAGAUAAGCAGUUUCAGUGGAUAAAGUGGUGUUUUUAACAUUGUUUUUUCCUAGGCAAAUAUUUUAAUCAGAUCCUCCUCGUGAGUAAGACCGUGCGAGGCUUAGGAAGCUGUGCUGCACAUUUCCCAUAGGAACAGGGGCUGCUGGGAAAUCAGAGUGGUUUAAUUCCCUUUCUCUUAGGGCUUAGGCUGACCACAGAAUGGUUACUCACAGGACACACCAUCUGCUGGGUUUGCAAGGCCCUGCUCUGCACCCAGCGACCCAGAGGUGCUGACAGCCACCGCAGCUCAAGUAUGGACGUGGGACAGAACAGCAGGCACCUGGAAUGGGGCUGGUUUGCUCUUCUUGUGAAUUUGUGGGCUGGGGUGCAGGUCUCAGGUUGAUUGGCUGCAUGGGGAGGUCCGUCAGAAACUCCCUACUCUGGUGUCAUUUUAACUUCAGCAGCUGAGGUUGCAGCUAUUGUGACUGUCUUGGGCCCAGAAAACAAAACCCCAGCUUUGCCAGGGAGCCCUGGGCCAUCUUCAGAGGCUCGGCCGCUUCUGUUCCUCACAUCCACACCAGGAAUUAAUUCACUUUCCCACCGAAGGCAAUUACCUUGGACAAAACUUUUAAAAAUCCACGCAGAAACGGCGCAAUUAUUUAAAAUCCACUCAAUGAACCUCCUACCUCCACCUUUGACAAACACGCUAAAAGAACAAAAUUGGGAUUAGACAGGCAAGAGUUUGAGUGAUGGAUCAUUAACGCUGCCUCUUGAGUGACUAAGCUCCAUAGUAGUAUCAACUACUAGUGCUGAAACAUGAUUUCAUCCCUGCAGCUCCAAACGAAGAUAAUAUGCUUGAUCCCUGAGCUGUAGCACUCCAAUUACGAUGCCAAUUUGUUGUAAAAUAUUGUUUCAAAGAAAAACAGGAAAAUGUUGAGGAGCACCUGAUAAUUGAAUUAUAAGGUUAUCCUUUUACAUCCUGUUUCAGCAAUUUUGUUUGAAAUCUUGGGACUGGGGCUACAGAACAGGUGAUUGCUCAUAAUCCAGCAUACAGGUUAAUUGAUAGAGCUGAGAAACAUUUUACGGGGAAAUUUCAAUUGACCUGAAAUUUGCUCAGCAAAAUGCUUUAUGUAUGUCAAAAGCAAUUUCAGAGGCUGUUAAAGGCAUUUUCAGCUUCUGCACAUUUGUGUCUCAGAUUUGUCUUUUGGACAUAAGAGUGAAAUGGCAAUAAAGACCAUUAAAAUAAAUUAAAGAGGUUUUAACAGUUAUUUUUCCAAAACACCAGAAGAUUUCUAAAAAUAGGUUUGAAGCCAGACCAUUUAAACACAUAUAAAAAUCCAUAACUGAAGCUGUUUUCCUGCUAUGUAUCUCCUCAGACUUGCAAUAUUACCUUUAGAUUACUAAAAGUCUCAGCCACUUCAAAUGAGCGAGGCUCUGAAAUGGUCAAGGGAGUGUUGUUUUAAAUCAGCUUCUAGAAAUGGUUUUAUUAUUUUAUAAAACAAAGGAAUGGUUCCAUGUUGAAAUCCAAGUCCCAUGGCAUGGUUUAAAACAUGAAUAAUUUACUGUAUCUAUAGAUUUUAUCUUACAAAACAGAACAUACUGAAAAAGGAGGAGAGAAUGUAGUCUUUGCUCCUCAGCUCUGUGAACAGAUGACAGCUUUCUCAAAUUGGGCAUUCUUAGCACAUAUUUGACAACUUUAAAAAUUGUAACUUUAUAAUUUGAUUAUGAGCAUUUGAAUUUUGAGCAGAACAGCUCCCUUGCUGUCUGUUUGAUGUGUCCCAUGAAACGCCUUUUUAUCCCCCGAACUGAUGGGGGUUUGAGCUUCACUGGCACACAGCUCCUGGGUGCAACUGUUCAAAAUCCCCUGGCGAGUGCCAGGAGGGCACUGGCACUGCCCAGGGAUGCAGCCAGGCUGGAGCUCGGCCAUGGUGCUGGGAGCUGCCUCAACACUGCCCGUUCCCCGCAGCUCCCCUGCCUGCUGCUCUCCUACAUAAAGUUCUGACUUAAGCCCAGGUGAAACCAAGGCAGAAAUCCCACCAGUUUCAGUGAAAGCUGCACGUCACUUCUGUGAUUGGUGUUACUGGGAGACCACACAGAAACCCUGACAUUGGGAAGCUCAGGGAUUUUUCCCAGAGGUGACAGGUCCAGCCUUGCUGAACAAGCUCAGCAACUCCUGCAAGAUACAAACUUAUUUUCCACGAAAAACUGAGGCUGAAGACACUUAAAACAAGCUCAGUGAAGAUCACAAGAUUCAGUUCAAGUGGAGGAUGCUCAGCACUUCUCAAGCAAACUCAGGAGCUCUCAGAUGCAACCCUCAUUUUCCAGGUGCCAUAAAAGCCCAUGCUGAGUGUUAGAUUUCCUUUAAGAGUCAUAAAGCCAAGCAUUGCUAUUACCCAUAAACCUUCACAUUUCAAUAAUUCUUUCUCUCUUUAGCACCUAAAAAUAUUUCCUUUUCCUACAGCUCUUCUAUGUAUGCCUACUAUAACUAGGUAGCAAAUCCGGUAUUUUAAGAGAAAAAUCAUGUUACACUGUAGCCUUAAAUCAUUAGCUAGAGGAGAAGAUGAGAACAGACGUGAGAAUGAGGUGUUUGCUACCGCGCCACAGUCUGUUCUGGGGAGAAAAAAACCCAUCUAAACACAGCUGCGACUCUGAACCGGAGCUGGGCUCGUCUGGGCUGAGCCGUCUGUCAGUUGGAAUAAAGCACAAAGCCGGGUUUGCAAAGUUCCCGGGUGCCUAGCCGCGCUGCUGGAAUGAGGUGCGCAGCAGCCCGCCCGCCAAGCGCAUCCCUGUGGGGAGCAGGGCUCCGGUGCCCCCACCCCCGAGCCACAGCCAGCUCGGCACAAGUCACCAGCUUCCCUCUGCCCUCCCUUUCCCCCACACUCUCCUCCUGCACCACGGAGGCUCUGCCGGCCGCUCUCAGAGAAUGGACCAGCAGGUGAGGGGCUUCAGAGCCACCGUGGCCACGGCCCCCGCUUGUCUCUCCCUCCCCGGGGAUGCGCCGCUCUCCCACGGCCGGAGCCCCGCGCUCUCGGCUGACAGAUGCGCCUUCCCAUCUGGGCUUUGCGACCUGCUCUGCCAAAUGCUCGCAACACCCAUGUGCUUCUUUGUCCCCGCAGUUACCGCCGCGCCUUCUCCACAACUCCAUUUUCAGAGCGGGAGCCACAUGUUCGGCCUCUGCGGGGAGCGGGGUCCUGCUGCCCAGCUCAGCCCUACAACACCCAUCUAUUUAUUGUUCCCACCCUUCAGCCUGACCCUCGGGCUCUAUCGAGGAACCCCGAGUCCCCAUUGAAGCACCUGAGCGGUGGCAACACCCCCUCCACCCGAGCUCCCGGUGUCUCUGUCUGAGGGCAGACUGGGAGGAACUGGAGUUCCCGCUGUCCUGCCCGAGAGCUGUGCUUGAGCUCCAAAGCUCCUAAAGCCAAAGUCCCGCGGGGAGGGGGGAGAGGGGGCACCCAGCCCCGAAGCCUGCAGGGCUCAGGUGCGCCCCAAAGCACCCAAAGCCCCGACCCCGUCAGGAGCCCCCCGAAGCUCCGAAGCCCCGGCGAUGGUCGCGGAGCGAGGUCGCCCCCCUGGGCAGCGCUCCCCUGGGCAGCGCUCCGCAUCCCGCCGCCGGUUCCCAUGGCAAUGUCGGAGAUGCCGGUUGCCACGGUAACGCCAUCCUCCUCCUCGGCCGUGUCCGAGGCAGCGGCGCGGCUCCGGCCCCGGCUCCGGCGGGGCUCAGCCCGGCGGCUCCGGCUCCAGCUCCUGCCGGGCUCUGCCCGGGCGCUGCCCGGCGGCUCCGGGAGCGCAGCCGGGUCCCCCCGGGGAAGUUGCUCCCCCCCUCCCCGGCGCGG